UCACAUCCGUCUAUCUAUCUCUGUAUGGUGUGGAUACACUGGCUAAAACGUGUUUGAUCUAAAACACACUUGUUUAACAACCUCCACCACACCCCGCGCCUAUCUCUUCUUCCUCCCAUCGAGGCAGUUACGCACAAUCCCCACGACCCAACAACGACUCUCACCCAUCGCUACCUCCCAAGGCGGACUCCACACCUGCUGCGACGCGCACCCGCGCCGCGCUGCCCAUCUCACCCAUCGCUUCCUCCCCCGGUGGACUGGAGCAACCGCCGUUGUGCAUCCCAGGAAGCAGGAGUCGCCGUGUCCCAGGCCUCGUGCGCCCGCUGCGCCGUCGGUCCCGUGCCGCCCCCGUGCCCCAUCGUUCUAUCACCUACCGCCCCCUCCUCUCCCCCUCACUGCCUGCCCCGCGCUCUCCCUUUCCCUUCAACGAAUUUCAAGCACGCGGCCGUCGCCCAGAUCGCGGAACCUUGAGCAAGGAGCCGUCGCCCACAUCGCCUAACCUCGAGCAAGCGGCCGUCGCCCACAUCGCCUGACCUCGAGCAAGCGGCCACCGCUCACAUCGAGAAAGAGUGCAAGACAACCACGACGUCCAGCCGCGACCACGAGUAUUUCGUCACCCACCGCCGAUAAUUUACCGGCAUAUGAAGCAUUGAAGCUGGAAGUCAUGUGAUCAAAGUAGGUUAUAGCUGUCUACUUUUGAAAAUCAUAGCAUUUAUCAGCUUGUUUUACGAUUAUUUCGGAUUGGGAUGAUUGGGUUGUCAUCAUGAUUCAUAGGAGGAUAAGCACCAGCGACGAGUAACUGGGAAGGAGAGGCUGAUACUUGAGAUAGGUUCUACGAUGAUACUGGAGAAUAGCAUGGAUUAAUCUUCAAAUCCUACUAGGCAGCGCUUCACCAUGAAUGGCUACAAUGGCAGCGGAAUGGAGGAGCUCAGUGUGUUCUGUAAGAUGGCUGUGUGGUAUGUGGAGUGAAGAUGCAUCUACCGUCAGUUUCUUAAUUAAUGAGGACACCUUUACCUGGUGGCGCUACCGGUGCCCAAAUAUCUCAUUUCUCUUGAUUAUAUAGUGAAAGCAAUUCACUUCGAUUAUCUCAUGAAGGGCAAACCUAACAACGUUCGAUGCAAUGAAGUGAAUAAGGGAGGAAGAGCUCAAGGGAACAAAGGGUAGAAGAAUAUACAAAUAUACAAACUGACCUGUUAGGAGUGGCUUCACAAAAACUCAGGUCUAAUUUUUUUGGAUGAUGCACGUUAAUGGAGUUUUUCGUUUAUUCACUUCGUUCCAAAAUACUCAUUAGCAGCAAUGCAAAGCUUUUGAUUAGAGCAAAGCUAUACAACCAAGGAAAUUGGAUUUCCUUUCCGUUGAUGUACAUAUUUUACUGUCCCUAAUCUUUCUCCUGGCCCAAUAUAUUUGCAGAUGUCUAUGUCUUUGUGAUCUUUGUGGAGGCUGCUUAUCUCACAGUUUUUUCUGUCUAUCCCGCCUAGGAAAAUAGAUUGUACAUUAUUAAUUUAGUCCAACAAUACGAGUAACAUGCCUGCCUACUGUAGUUAUUUUUGACAAUCUGAUAUGUUCACACAUCAUUACAAGGUUCCUUAAAACUACCUUUGUAGAUAUUUCAAACCAAGGUCUAGGAGUAUUCAGCCGAUCAUACUUUCAGACCAGUAGAGAAUGUGAAAAAAAAAAUGUAUUUAGGCUUACUAACUACUAUUAACAAACAAUAUGGUUCUCAUAUGAAUGUGUGUAACUUUAUUCUAUUCAUCAGUGUGUAAUUCACAAGAGAACUGUGCAAUGAGGUUCUUGUCAUACUGGUGAGGAUAGUGUACUAUUCCCAUAUUGUUUUGCUCAAUAUUUUAGCACUGGACCCUUCUUGUUUUGUGCAACAACUAACACUCUUUCUCGCCACUACGGCCAUGAAACUUCAACUAUUCUUCUGUUUGCAGCAGAUGGUCUCUUUGAUGGUUGGAGUCACCAUCUUGGCUUGGUACCAUGCACAACAGUCCCAUGGAAUCUAUCAUCGCCUUAAUGGCUACUAGAGCCGGUGUAGUGUGGUGAAGGCACUGUCAAUGAAGAGAAAAAAGAUUGUCGUCGAGUUGUUGUGCAAGGAUUCUCCGAUUGCUACGAACAUUAUUACAGUUUACAAGAUUUUGAUAAAGAUAUACAUUUUAUAUUUAGAGAAGAUAUGUAAUAAGUCCUUCUAUGUACCCUAAGUAGUUGCCCGUUGUACUGAAAGUUCUGAAAUUUUCUAUUUUCAACA